rnacentral:rRNA from 13 species
UUGGACAUGGGUUAGUCGAUCCUAAGAGAUAGGGAAAUUCCGUAUGAAAGUGUGCAUUUUAAUUGCGCCGCCUAUCGAAAGGGAAACAGGUUAAUAUUCCUGUACUUCUGGUUAUUGCGAUGGAGGGACGGAGAAGGCUAGGUGAGCCAGGCGUUGGUUGUCCUGGUGAAAGUGAGUAGGCUUGGGUCUUAGGUAAAUCCGGGACCCUUUAAGGCCGAGACACGAAACGAAGACACUACGGUGUCGAAGUCAUUGAUGCCACGCUUCCAGGAAAAGCCUCUAAGCUUCAGAUCAUGUGCGACCGUACCCCAAACCGACACAGGGGGUCAGGUAGAGAAUACCAAGGC